UACGCAGGUGGCAAGCGUUGAUCGGAUUUACUGGGCGUACAGGGAGCGUAGGCGGUUGGGUAAGCCCUCCGUGAAAUCUCCGGGCCUUACCCGGAAAGUGCGGAGGGGACUGCUCGGCUAGAGGAUGGGAGAGGAGCGCGGAAUUCCCGGUGUAGCGGUGAAAUGCGUAGAGAUCGGGAGGAAGGCAGGUGGCGAAGGCGGCGCUCUGGAACAUUUCUGACGCUGAGGCUCGAAAGCGUGGGGAGCAAACAGG
rnacentral:rRNA from 1 species